UAAAGUUGUUGCAGUUUAAAAGCUCGUAGUUGGAUUUCUGGAUUGAGCGGCUGGCCUUGCGCGCAAGCGUUCGUGUCGGCUUCGUUUCGGUCCAUCCUCAGGGGGACUUGCGCUGGCAUUAACGUGUCGGUGUUGGGACGCCUGUCGUUUACUGUGAACAAAUUAGAGUGUUCAAAGCAAGGUGUACUUGAAUACAUUAGCAUGGAAUAAUGGAAUAGGACUUUGGUGCUAUUUUGUUGGUUUAUGGGACUGAAGUAAUGAUUAAUAGGGACAGUUGGGGGUAUUCGUAUUCAGUUGUCAGAGGUGAAAUUCUUGGAUUUACGGAAGACGAACUACUGCGAAAGCAUUUACCAAGGAUGUUUUCAUUAAUCAAGAACGAAAGUUAGGGGAUCGAAGAAGAUUAGAUACCUUCGUAGUCCUAACCAUAAACUAUGCCGACUCGGGAUUGGCGGUCGUUUUUUUACCGACUCCGUCAGCACCGUAUGAGAAAUCAAAGUCUUUGGGUUCCGGGGGGAGUAUGGUCGCAAGGCUGAAACUUAAAG
rnacentral:rRNA from 14 species